rnacentral:rRNA from 1 species
GACGAACGCUGGCGGCGUGCUUAACACAUGCAAGUCGAACGGAAAGGCCCUGCUUUUGUGGGGUGCUCGAGUGGCGAACGGGUGAGUAACACGUGAGUAACCUGCCCUUGACUUUGGGAUAACUUCAGGAAACUGGGGCUAAUACCGGAUAGGAGCUCCUGCUGCAUGGUGGGGGUUGGAAAGUUUCGGCGGUUGGGGAUGGACUCGCGGCUUAUCAGCUUGUUGGUGGGGUAGUGGCUUACCAAGGCUUUGACGGGUAGCCGGCCUGAGAGGGUGACCGGCCACAUUGGGACUGAGAGACGGCCCAGACUCCUACGGGGGGCAGCAGUGGGGAAUAUUGCACAAUGGGCGGAAGCCUGAGGCAGCAACGCUGCGUGCGGGAUGAAGGCCUUCGGGGUGUAAACCGCUUUCGCCUGUGACGAAGCGUGAGUGACGGUAAUGGGUAAAGAAGCACCGGCUAACUACGUG